UACGUAGGGGGCAAGCGUUGUCCGGAAUCAUUGGGCGUAAAGAGCGUGUAGGCGGCUUGGUAAGUCCGCUGUGAAAGUCCAGGGCUCAACCCUGGAAAGCCAGUGGAAACUGCCAAGCUAGAGUCCGGAAGAGGCGAGUGGAACUCCUGGUGUAGCGGUGAAAUGCGCAGAUAUCAGGAAGAACACCAAUGGCGAAGGCAGCUCGCUGGGACGCGACUGACGCUGAGACGCGAAAGCGUGGGUAGCAAACAGG
rnacentral:rRNA from 1 species